rnacentral:rRNA from 1 species
CUUGAAAGCUGGCGGCAGGCCUAACCCAUGCAAGUCGAACGAGUGGCGGACGGGUGAGUACUGUCUGGGGAACUGCCCGAUGGAGGGGGAUAACUCCUGGAACCGGUAGCUAAUACCGCAUACCAUCGGAUGUGCCCAGGUGGGAUUAGCUAGUAGGGGGGGUAAAGGCGUACCUAGGCGACGUUCCCUCGCUGGUCUGAGAGGAUGACCAGCCACACGGUAACUGAGAUACGGUCAAGACUCCGACGGGAGGCAGCAGUGGGGAAUAGUGCACAAGGGGCGCAAGCCUGAUACAGCCAUGCCGCGUGUAUGAAGAAGGCCUUCGGGUUUUAAAGUACGUGCAGCGAGGAGGCGUUACUCGCAGAAGAAGCACCGGCUAACGCCGUGCCAGCAGCCGCGGUAAUUC